rfam:Eubacteriaceae bacterium CHKCI004 isolate CHKC4 genome assembly, contig: {contig1}
AUCAUGAUACUCCUGUCCGGUCAUAAAGUCGAGCAUAUAAGAUGUCGCAACAAGUGAGGGCAGCUUUGGGAGAACCUCAGAGGGGCACAGGCCCGUGG